GUUACACCUUCAUUCAGCUAAUUGCUGUCUUGAUUUGAAUCCAGAUUCUACAAUGUACUAGCUCCGAAACCUCAGAUGACAGUCCUGGAUAUCUGACUAUUUUCUGGACAACUCUUGGAUGAUCUGAAACUGAAUGAUUCAUUCCACAAAUAGUUGAACUUUAAAAGUUAGCCCCAAGAAUGAAAUUGUGUCCUUUGCCAAAACAUGGAUGGAGCUAGAGGCCAUUAUCCUAAGUGAAUUAAUGCAGGAACAGAAAGCCAAAUACUGCAUGUUCUCACUGAUAAGUGGGAGCUAAACUAUGGGUUCACAAAGGCAUGCAGAGUGGUACUGUGGACAUUGGAGACUCAGAAUGGGGGAGGUUAGGAGGGAGGUAAGGGAUGAAAAAGUACCUAUUGGGUACAAUGUACACUACUUGGGGUGACGAUGGGUCCACUAAAAUCCCAGAUUUAACCACUGUACAAUUCAUCCGUGUAACCAAAACCCACCUGUACCCCUAAAGCUAUUAAAAUAAAUAAAACCAAAUUAGCUCUGUUUCUGUUAGAUGAGAUGCAAAUAUUUUCCCAAGUUUGUCCUUUGUCUUUUGACUUUGUUUAUGGUGUUUCACUCAUGCAGAUGUUUUUGAUUUUUAUGUUUUUAACUUGUCAUUAUUUUCUUUCAUGUCUUCUGGAUUUUAAGUCAUGUUCUCAAGGCUUUCCCACUCUGAUAUUGUAAAUGAUUUUUUCCUCAUUUCUCUUAGAACUUUGAUUCUUUCACUUCCCACAUUUAACCUUCCACCUAUCCAGAAUUUCCCCUAGCAUAAAUUGAUAUGGUCCCAAUGUUUCUUUUUUUUCCUCCCCAAAUGGCCACUCAUUUAUACCAACACCAUUUAUUGAAUCGUCUUUAUAGUCCCCACUGAUUUGAAAUGCCAACUUUACAUACCAAAGUCCUGUAUGCAUUUGCCUCUGUUCUGUUCAGUAGAUCUGUUCAAGCUCCAGUUCCCAAAAGUGUUGAGUGUCGCUUAAAAUCUAGAAGGGCUGGUUUCUAGUUUUCCAUCAUUGCUCCUCUUUUCUAGAGUCUUCUGUCGUAUUAGGGCUUAU